rnacentral:rRNA from 1 species
GGAUCAGUGGCGAACGGGUGAGUAACACGUGAGUAACCUGCCCCAGACUCUGGAAUAACCCCGGGAAACCGGAGCUAAUACCGGAUACGAGACGAAGCUGCAUGGCUAUCGUCUGGAAAGUUUUUCGGUCUGGGAUGGACUCGCGGCCUAUCAGCUUGUUGGUGAGGUAAUGGCUCACCAAGGCGACGACGGGUAGCCGGCCUGAGAGGGCGACCGGCCACACUGGGACUGAGACACGGCCCAGACUCCUACGGGAGGCAGCAGUGGGGAAUAUUGCACAAUGGGCGAAAGCCUGAUGCAGCGACGCCGCGUGAGGGAUGACGGCCUUCGGGUUGUAAACCUCUUUCAGCAGGGAAGAAGCGAAAGUGACGGUACCUGCAGAAGAAGCACCGGCUAACUACGUGCCAGCAGCCGCGGUAAUACGUAGGGUGCGAGCGUUGUCCGGAAUUAUUGGGCGUAAAGAGCUUGUAGGCGGUUUGUCGCGUCUGCCGUGAAAAUCCGAGGCUCAACCUCGGACUUGCGGUG